AAAUUGAAGAGUUUGAUCAUGGCUCAGAUUGAACGCUGGCGGCAGGCCUAACACAUGCAAGUCGAACGGUAACAGGAAGCAGCUUGCUGCUUCGCUGACGAGUGGCGGACGGGUGAGUAAUGUCUGGGAAGCUGCCUGAUGGAGGGGGAUAACUACUGGAAACGGUAGCUAAUACCGCAUAAUGUCGCAAGACCAAAGAGGGGGACCUUCGGGCCUCUUGCCAUCGGAUGUGCCCAGAUGGGAUUAGCUUGUUGGUGGGGUAACGGCUCACCAAGGCGACGAUCCCUAGCUGGUCUGAGAGGAUGACCAGCCACACUGGAACUGAGACACGGUCCAGACUCCUACGGGAGGCAGCAGUGGGGAAUAUUGCACAAUGGGCGCAAGCCUGAUGCAGCCAUGCCGCGUGUAUGAAGAAGGCCUUCGGGUUGUAAAGUACUUUCAGCGGGGAGGAAGGGAGUAAAGUUAAUACCUUUGCUCAUUGACGUUACCCGCAGAAGAAGCACCGGCUAACUCCGUGCCAGCAGCCGCGGUAAUACGGAGGGUGCAAGCGUUAAUCGGAAUUACUGGGCGUAAAGCGCACGCAGGCGGUUUGUUAAGUCAGAUGUGAAAUCCCCGGGCUCAACCUGGGAACUGCAUCUGAUACUGGCAAGCUUGAGUCUCGUAGAGGGGGGUAGAAUUCCAGGUGUAGCGGUGAAAUGCGUAGAGAUCUGGAGGAAUACCGGUGGCGAAGGCGGCCCCCUGGACGAAGACUGACGCUCAGGUGCGAAAGCGUGGGGAGCAAACAGGAUUAGAUACCCUGGUAGUCCACGCCGUAAACGAUGUCGACUUGGAGGUUGUGCCCUUGAGGCGUGGCUUCCGGAGCUAACGCGUUAAGUCGACCGCCUGGGGAGUACGGCCGCAAGGUUAAAACUCAAAUGAAUUGACGGGGGCCCGCACAAGCGGUGGAGCAUGUGGUUUAAUUCGAUGCAACGCGAAGAACCUUACCUGGUCUUGACAUCCACGGAAGUUUUCAGAGAUGAGAAUGUGCCUUCGGGAACCGUGAGACAGGUGCUGCAUGGCUGUCGUCAGCUCGUGUUGUGAAAUGUUUGGUUAAGUCACGCAACGAGCGCAACCCUUAUCCUUUGUUGCCAGCGGUCCGGCCGGGAACUCAAAGGAGACUGCCAGUGAUAAACUGGAGGAAGGUGGGGAUGACGUCAAGUCAUCAUGGCCCUUACGACCAGGGCUACACACGUGCUACAAUGGCGCAUACAAAGAGAAGCGACCUCGCGAGAGCAAGCGGACCUCAUAAAGUGCGUCGUAGUCCGGAUUGGAGUCUGCAACUCGACUCCAUGAAGUCGGAAUCGCUAGUAAUCGUGGAUCAGAAUGCCACGGUGAAUACGUUCCCGGGCCUUGUACACACCGCCCGUCACACCAUGGGAGUGGGUUGCAAAAGAAGUAGGUAGCUUAACCUUCGGGAGGGCGCUUACCACUUUGUGAUUCAUGACUGGGGUGAAGUCGUAACAAGGUAACCGUAGGGGAACCUGCGGUUGGAUCACCUCCUUA
rnacentral:rRNA from 1 species